rnacentral:rRNA from 1 species
UACGGGGGGGGCAAGCGUUGUUCGGAUUUACUGGGCGUAAAGGGCUCGUAGGCGGCCAGCUAAGUCGGACGUGAAAUCCCCAGGCUCAACCUGGGAACUGCGUCCGAUACUGGAUGGCUUGAAUCCGGGAGAGGGAUGCAGAAUUCCAGGUGUAGCGGUGAAAUGCGUAGAUAUCUGGAGGAAUACCGGUGGCGAAGGCGGCAUCCUGGACCGGCAUUGACGCUGAGGAGCGAAAGCCAGGGGAGCAAACGGG